CUCGCAGGUACCGCCCACCGCGCGGAAGUCCCGCCCCUUCCGGAAGUCAGCCAGGCGCCUGUGGAGCCAACAGCAUGGAGGUGCGGGCUGUCUGACCUGAGUGGCUGCUGGCAGCGCGCGGCCAGGGCAGCCUCGAGGCUUCUGCAGGGAAGAUGGCGAGUGGGGGCCGCGGGGCCCUUGGGCGCGGGCUGAGGACCGCCCUGCUCAGGCCCCGGGUCCUCCAGGCAGCGGAGCCCUCUCCCCCUCGGCCCGCACCUGCGGCUCUGGGAGGCGCCUUCCUAGUCGGGGUUUGUGUCUGAGGAAGACGCCCCCUCACCCGCCAGGCCACCCGCCUCCCUGCAGAGGGCGCUGGACCCGGCGCCGGCCCUGCCCGGGCCCAAGGCCUGCGGUGUCGGACCGGACCGCAUCCUCCUCAGCCACAGGGUUCGGCUCAGACAGAAAGUCCCGACGGGGAGUGAGAGCCACGGACCCCGACCUCCCGCAGCCAGUCGGGCGUCCACGGGACGCGGCCCAGGAGGUCACUGUGCACUUGGCGCUGCAGCCUUCCCCGCGGCAGGACGGACACCGGCCAUGACGCCCUCAGGGACGGCCUUCAGCUCCAGGCCUGUGGCGACAGGGGCGUCCUCGUGGGGCCCAGAGUGUGUCCCCAGCCCGUGGGCCGCCCCCGAGCUGCUCUCGGCUCCUGGAUCCAUCUGCAGACCUGUGUGCACGUCCCAUCGGAGUCACUGCAGGUGCUCGAGUUCACUGUGUGCUGGAAACGAUGUUGGUUCUGAAGAACAGUGACAUGCAGAGGAUUCCGGGCUGUGAGCCUGAGCCUGUGGAGAAACUGAGGAAAUUGCUAAGAGCAGAAGCAAUUGACUGGUGGACUUCAGGGGUUCUUAUGUAUGAACUAUUGACAGUCGAUGGGGAG